rnacentral:rRNA from 1 species
UACGUAGGGCGCAAGCGUUAUCCGGAAUUAUUGGGCGUAAAGAGCUCGUAGGCGGUUUGUCGCGUCUGCCGUGAAAGUCCGGGGCUCAACUCCGGAUCUGCGGUGGGUACGGGCAGACUAGAGUGAUGUAGGGGAGACUGGAAUUCCUGGUGUAGCGGUGAAAUGCGCAGAUAUCAGGAGGAACACCGGUGGCGAAGGCGGGUCUCUGGGCCGAUACUGACGCUGAGGAGCGAAA